AACAUCAAUCGCAGCUCCGAGCUCCACAAAGCUCGCCACGGCCUUCAAUGCUGUGUCGAGUGGGGUAGGUAUCGGGCAAAAGCGUAGAAUGAAUGCACGUUGCUGGGCGCCUGGCGUUGACUACUAUAUGGAAUGUUGGGAAUCAGUUGUGGCAAUAUUU
rnacentral:snoRNA from 1 species